rnacentral:rRNA from 1 species
GAUGAACGCUGGCGGCGUGCUUAACACAUGCAAGUCGAACGGUGAAGCAGGAGCUUGCUCCUGUGGAUCAGUGGCGAACGGGUGAGUAACACGUGAGCAAUCUGCCCUGGACUCUGGGAUAAGCGUUGGAAACGACGUCUAAUACCGGAUACGAGGCAUGGGGGCAUCCCCAACGCCUGGAAAGAACUUCGGUCCAGGAUGAGCUCGCGGCCUAUCAGGUAGUUGGUGAGGUAACGGCUCACCAAGCCUACGACGGGUAGCCGGCCUGAGAGGGUGACCGGCCACACUGGGACUGAGACACGGCCCAGACUCCUACGGGAGGCAGCAGUGGGGAAUAUUGCACAAUGGGCGCAAGCCUGAUGCAGCAACGCCGCGUGAGGGACGACGGCCUUCGGGUUGUAAACCUCUUUUAGCAGGGAAGAAGCGAAAGUGACGGUACCUGCAGAAAAAGCACCGGCUAACUACGUGCCAGCCGCCGCUGUAAUAC